rnacentral:rRNA from 1 species
GCCCAACCAUAAACUUUGAUAAUAAGAUACAAAUAUUAUCCGCCAGGGAACUACAAGCGCAUUGCUCGAAACCCAACGGACUUGGCGGUGCCCCACACCCACCUAGAGGAGCCUGUUCUGUAACUGACAAUCCCCGUUUAACCUCACCACCCCUAGCUUAAUCAGUCUAUAUACCACCGUCGUAAGCUCACCCUGUGAAGGCCCAAUAGUAAGCAAGAUGGGCACAACCCAACACGUCAGGUCGAGGUGUAGCAUAUGGGGCGGGAAGAAAUGGGCUACAUUUUCUGCCCAACAGAAUACCAACGAAUGCCGACAUGAAACUGUCGUUUAAAGGAGGAUUUAGCAGUAAAAAGAAAAUAGAGAGUUCUUUUGAAGCCGGCCCUGGGGCGCGC